rnacentral:rRNA from 1 species
CAGUUAAAAGCUAUUCCGUCGCUUAAGCGAGGAUAUCUGCGGAAAUACCGGAGUUAAUACUUGAAAGAGAGGCAUGACGUAAGUUGUGCUGCAGUUGCUAGUUAAGGCCAAACGUCGCAAGACGGCUUGUGUUGACACUGAGUAACGCUCGUUUAUCGGCGGUCUAUCCGUCGAAGUGUGGAAAGCUUUUCUGCCCUAUCAACUUGAUGGCAGUGCAGUGGACUGUCAUGGUUGUUACGGGUACCGGAGAAUCGGGGUUCGACUCCGGAGAGGCAGCCUUAGAAACGGCUACCACAUCCAAGGAAGGCAGCAGGCGCGAAACUUAUCCACUAUCAAAAAUGAGAUAGUAACUAAGAAUAAAAAAUCUGAGCCUUCGGGUUUAGAUAUUUGAAUGAGUGGAGUGCAAAUAACUCUUCGAGAAACUAAGAGAGGGCAAGUCUGGUGCCAGCAGCCGCGGUAAUUCCAGCUCUCUUAGCGUAAAUCGUUACUGCUGAGGUUAAAAAGCUCAUAGUUGAUUUUAUGUAUCCUGUGUCAGUUCGCUUCGUGCGUUAAUUGUCCGGGUUGCAAAUGGUCGGUGGCGCCCUUGUGGGUGACGCUGGCAGGUUUACUUUGAUUAAAUCAGAGUGCUCAGAACAGGCGACUGCCUGAAUGUGUUAUCAAGGAAUAAUGGAACAGGUCUACUGUCCUUUCGUUGGUCUAUGGACAGCAGAAAUGAUUAAUAGGAACAUACGGGGCCAAUCGUAUUCCUGCGGGAGGGGUGAAAUCCUAUGAUCG